rnacentral:rRNA from 1 species
UACGGAGGAUCCGAGCGUUAUCCGGAUUUAUUGGGUUUAAAGGGUGCGCAGGCGGGAGAUUAAGUCGGCGGUGAAAUUUUGCAGCUCAACUGUAAAAGUGCCUUCGAUACUGGCUUUCUUGAGUGUGGAUGAAGUAGGCGGAAUUUGUGGUGUAGCGGUGAAAUGCAUAGAUAUCACGAGGAACUCCGAUUGCGCAGGCAGCUUACUAAACUACUACUGACGCUCAUGCACGAAGGCGUGGGGAUCAAACAGGAUUAGA